rnacentral:rRNA from 1 species
AACGAACGCUGGCGGCAGGCCUAACACAUGCAAGUCGAGCGAGGACUUCGGUCCUAGCGGCAGACGGGUGAGUAACGCGUGGGAACGUGCCCUUUGCUUCGGAAUAGCCCUGGGAAACUGGGAGUAAUACCGGAUGAGCCCUUUGGGGGAAAGAUUUAUCGGCGAAGGAUCGGCCCGCGUUGGAUUAGGUAGUUGGUGGGGUAAUGGCCUACCAAGCCGACGAUCCAUAGCUGGUUUGAGAGGAUGAUCAGCCACACUGGGACUGAGACACGGCCCAGACUCCUACGGGAGGCAGCAGUGGGGAAUCUUAGACAAUGGGGGAAACCCUGAUCGAGCCAUGCCGCGUGAGCGAUGAAGGCCUUAGGGUUGUAAAGCUCUUUCAGCUGGGAAGAUAAUGACGGUACCAGCAGAAGAAGCCCCGGCUAACUCCGUG